rnacentral:rRNA from 1 species
UGGGGAAUAUUGGACAAUGGGCGAAAGCCUGAUCCAGCCAUGCCGCGUGUGUGAAGAAGGUCUUCGGAUUGUAAAGCACUUUAAGUUGGGAGGAAGGGCAUUAACCUAAUACGUUAGUGUUUUGACGUUACCGACAGAAUAAGCACCGGCUAACUCUGUGCCAGCAGCCGCGGUAAUACAGAGGGUGCAAGCGUUAAUAGGAAUUAAUGGGCGUAAAGCGCGCGUAGGUGGUUUGUUAAGUUGGAUGUGAAAUCCCCGGGCUCAACCUGGGAACUGCAUUCAAAACUGACUGACUAGAGUAUGGUAGAGGGUGGUGGAAUUUCCUGUGUAGCGGUGAAAUGCGUAGAUAUAGGAAGGAACACCAGUGGCGAAGGCGACCACCUGGACUAAUACUGACACUGAGGUGCGAAAGCGUGGGGAGCAAACA